rnacentral:rRNA from 1 species
UGGGGAAUAUUGCACAAUGGGCGCAAGCCUGAUGCAGCCAUGCCGCGUGUAUGAAGAAGGCCUUCGGGUUGUAAAGUACUUUCAGCGGGGAGGAAGGGAGUAAAGUUAAUACCUUUGCUCAUUGACGUUACCCGCAGAAGAAGCACCGGCUAACUCCGUGCCAGCAGCCGCGGUAAUACGGAGGGUGCAAGCGUUAAUCGGAAUUACUGGGCGUAAAGCGCACGCAGGCGGUUUGUUAAGUCAGAUGUGAAAUCCUCGGGCUCAACCUGGGAACUGCAUCUGAUACUGGCAAGCUUGAGUCUCGUAGAGGGGGGUUGAAUUCCAGGUGUAGCGGUGAAAUGCGUAGAGAUCUGGAGGAAUACCGGUGGCGAAGGCGGCCCCCUGGACGAAGACUGACGCUCAGGUGCGAAAGCGUGGGGAGCAAACAGG